UGCAUGUCUUUAAAAUGGCUUGCGCAGAGACGAUCGCUCUUCAUUUACCCGUUCUUGCGCAUGUGUGGGUGCGUUGUGACCAAGCCAGGCAAGCCCUCAAGGAAGGCUAGCGUUAUGUCUGAGCUGACGGAUCACGAAAGGCCUGGCAUGGCCUACUCAUCGUGGCCGCUGCGGCGUCGCGAUUCUGGCUGAAUAAUUGAGCAUCAAGGGCUUUUCACAGCGACUUCAACGGUACUUCAAGCAGGCUGGAAUACUUAGUCAAUGCAGUACUAUGAUUGUAUAAACAGUACUUUGGAACUACUGUCAAUAGCAUCAACUCUUAAAGAACACUUGGAGCUUCUGGUAGUGUCCAAUUGCUGCACCUGGUGUUAAGAAUGGCCUUCAUCCUGUGCCACGCUGCUGAUUGGAUGGUAAGCUUUUUCACAAUAGAUGAGUAACUGUGGUAGGGUUAAUGUUGAGUAUUGGUCUUCAAAUCUACUUUUCAUGCUUGCCACUUAAUCUAGCAAUGGCAUGAGCUGUUUUAUAUUGCAUCUAUUUUUGCACGUUUCAUCUUUUCUAACAAAACUGCAGGUGCCUUUUGACAUGUCACAACUGUUACCAAUCCUCAAAAGCAGCAUUCAUGGUCUAAUUCAUGCAUCAUUAGUCUCCAUAAGCAUUCAGAAAGCUUGUGAUCUAGUGAUGAGGGGGCAGUACUUUUCAAGCUGUGGAUUCCUGUAGGGCACCUUAGUUUUGGGGGGAGUACGGCGUCGCUGCCUUGAAACAUGUCUAUGUAGCUUUUGAGUGCAAGUUUUCCAUUGCCAAUUUGCUCCAAACUAGUUCUCGCUGUAAAUCUGUAUAGCGUGUGCACUUAUUUGGUUGCUGCGUCUACGGAUAAAAUGUUUUACCUAUUAUACUGCAAUGUGUUUGCACUCAGUUGCCUUCUAGAUGUCUGCACUGGUUCCUUGAGCAAAUGCUUUCAGUGGUGGGAAUGCUGCACCAUUUGGACUGAUCUGUGCCAUUUUGUUAAGGGGGAAGGGCCAAUAGGUCAGGUCACUUUUGCUUUAGCAUUAUAUUCUAAAAAACUUCCUAUGUGUUACUGAAAAUUUCACUAUGUGUGGAAUGGUCUUUUGCUGCAGUAGUAAAUUUAGCAAUUGCAGAAACUAUUAGAUUCUGCCAUUAUCUUAACCUAAAGGUAUGAAAGCUAAAAUUUCUGAUUGGCUAAACUAUAGUUUCAUGUUUAUUACAAAUGUUGCAAAAGAGUGCACAUCACUUUUUUCUUUCAUUGUGCCAUGUGCAGCUGCAGAGCUCUUGCUUUGAGACUUUCACUGUAAUUAGCAAGUACAGUAUUUCUGGAAUACUGUAUGGUGCCAGCUGCACUCUGAUCAACAAUUCAUGCUGUAUUUUGAUUGCUCACUUCAAGUUUGCUUUUGGCAUAUUGGGCAUAUCAAGAUGUGGGUUGUGUGAAGGCAAUACAAUGGAGCAACCCACGUGCAAAUUUUGUGACGGCUAAAAUGUAACUGAACAGGUUCUUCAUUAAGCAUUCAAAUCUCAAUAUGGCAAUAAAAACUCAAGUAGACACAAUUUUUUAAGAGCCCUUGCGCACUUAUCAAGCCACUGGUUUUGUUACAGGUUGUGUAGGCUGACUGUCGGACAUGCUUCUAGCAUAGUCAAGCACCGAUACCAAAUAUUUAAAAUUUCAAUCGUGCCAACAAUUGCUGCAUCGCUAACCGCAUCCUCACCCAGUGGCACUCGCCAGAAAAACCUGCGUCGCCACUUGCAUGUUUGUAGUUGGUUAAAAACAAAGUUGCAGAAAACCACUGUAGCACAAGCAUGAUAAAUUAAGAUUCGGAUUUAUUUGUGUGCUGUACUUAAUUUACCACAAAUAGAUGCAACAUGGUGGCUUAAAAAAAAAGCCGCAAUUACUGCAAAACACGGUAUGGACACUGUGCUGUCUUACUUUGCCUCUGUACAUUGCACUGUUAGUUCACACAAAAGCUUGUCUUCUAGUUUAUGUAUGCAUGUGAGCAGCCUUGUUGCCUUAUUUUGCACGUGCCAUACCCAUUGAAUGUUGACCACAUGGUACAGGUUUUUCUGCUCGGUGCAGUCGUUACUGCACCCUGUUUGUUCGCAUAGCUGUGCUGAAAUGCCUGCACAGGCUACAAAAAAAUGUUGCACGGUCCUAGGAUGCUCGACCAGUAGCAACGAUGAAGUGUGCUAGAAUGAGCAAAGGUAGCUUGCUACCAUGGUAACGGUGCCUUCAGCACACUGAAGUAACUCGAAUCUGGGAACAUAGAACAUGUGGCGUAACUAUGGUGUGCAACUUUGCUCAAAGGUGCGUCAAGCUCUUGCCAUUGGCAGUUGUUGGUCACGCAAGUCAAUAAGUGCAAUGGGGACAGGAGACAUGCAAAAUUUGAGUCAAGAGCAUGCAAUCUUGUAUUUUUGACAAUUCUGCUGAAUAAUUUUGGGUUGUCACUCGGGCUAUCACUGCCAUUCUUAUUGCAUUUAUCUUUCCAACAGUCCAUCUACACAACCUGCAACUGGAAAAACGGUUGCUUCAAAAGUGUUUAAGGGCCUCUUCAAAUACAGGAGUACUUAGCUUCAGCAUCAUUUUUCAAAGUGGCUGUACAUGCUCUCCAAUGCACUGGCUUGUGGCUGCCUGUUUUCCGACUAGAAAAUCAAAUAUUUGUGAGAUUACCCUACCAUCGCUUAAAGCUACAUCUAUGCUCGAUAUGUGAAGCUGCAGGUAACACUGGUGGCGUGAGGAAAUACGAAGGAUGUUUCUUUUCACAAGCUGGAAGGCUGCAGCUGAAGUGACCCACUUGUACAUACUGAUGCCUUUAGUCAUUUCAGUGGUAAGGGCUAGUGCUUGGUAUUGCUUCCAAGCAAUUGAAAAAAAUUUCUUGUCUAGGUUUUGCAUAUAGGCUGUAUGUGGUUGCUUAGUGGUUAUGCGUGGGCUGCUGAACAUGGAGCGUGGGAUCAAAUCCCAGCCACAGCGGCUGCAUUAGAUGGGAGCGAAAUACAGAAAACUCCAUACUUAAAUUUAGGUGCACAUUAAAGAACCCCAGGUGGUUGAAAUUAAUUUAGAUUUUCCCCAUCAUGGCAUGCCUUAUCUGAUGGUGGUUUUGGCAGGUAACACUCAUAAUUUAAUUUUUAAAUGUGACUAGGUGCACAUUGGCAGCACAAAUUCUGGUAAUUUUGUAUGAGCAUGUAAAUCCGCUAAAAAAAAAAAAAAAAAAACUUUCCAACUCCGAGUUUUGUUUUGCCGUUUUUUAGAUGGUAUUUCUGUAGCAAUUCAAAGGGUGUAAAUAUAUUUUGCAUAAUUGAAUACCUGGUAUGAAAAUGGAAGCAGUUUCAAGAAAUGACAAUUUAGUCUACUACAAAAUUUUCUCACCACUAGGUUGCACAGUGGUGAAAAAUUUGGUCUUGGUCAUGGCUUUCACAUGUUGUUGCUCGUUUUUGCUACACUGAGCAAUGCGGAGAAAUGUUUUUUUUUUUUUCUGAUGAAAUUUGUAAAUUUCGUUUCCAACAUGUGUGUAACUUUUCAUGUCCAACAAUCGAGCUAUUGGUGUUUGCUUGUACAGAAUUCAUGGGCAUCUGUAGUUGACAUUUUGGUCAUGUCAUGCUUAUUGCAGGUGCACAUCUCAAACCUGGAGGGCUUUGCAAGUUGGGGUGAGUGCCAUUGCACAGUGCAAUUUUAUCCUAGCCACCAGUGAUGUUUACCCUCCAAUACCUAUGUUUAUGAGGACCUCACCAAGAUCUCUGAGAGGCCCUUAGGCUUGCAUAAUUAGCUUGCUCCCUUUCCUUUUUAUUAAUAUUUACUCCUUUUUCAUUUUAGGUUGAUGUGCAAGCAGUAGUCCUGUCACAUUCACUGGUAAGUUUAUAGCAUGGACAUAGCUGUUUCAUUUAGCCUUUCAGUUGGAAUGGUGCAAAGAACGGGACUUCGCUUUCUGCACUGUUUCCAAUUAAAAGGGACACUUACUAAGUCUAAUUGCAAAGUCAAUACUUUCAAAAUUUUUUGAUUGGUAGAAAAUGAAAGCUGUUUUGCCUUGCAGAUUUUAUUGUAUUCAUUUUGUGAACCAUUCUGGCUCAAGAAAAAUUACUAAUAACUUAUUUGUGUGCCCUAAUGGCCUCUUUUAGACAUUACAUAGUAUCGCUGCAACUUGCAUCCACUAUGGCUAGCUGUUCCAGAAACGGUUUAGCAUUGCGUCCAAUUGUUUGUCUACUAGCUUGUCAAGCUUCCUGCAGAGUAUUGAUGUGUAAAUUACUAAUUCAAGUACGUGUCCCUUUCCGACAAUUUUGUCUUGGUCAUGGCUUUCACAUGAUGUUGCUUGAGUAUUUGCUACACUGAGAGAGCAAUGCGGAGAAAUACAUUUUUUUCUGAUGCAAUUGGUACAUUUUGUGUUAACUUUUCAUGUCUUACUUGCCUUUUUGACAUUACUGCUUUACUAAUUUCCAGGUGCCUUCUGGAGUUGUGCAGUUUGGAAAGGUAUGCUCACCUUCAGUAUGUGGUCACUUUUUGAAAUGAUGACAUCUAGAGAUAGGGACAGCUGAAGCCUGUGAUUGCAAUAAACUCUUGCUGAUCUUUUUUUAAUAGUUGUUCACGCUACCUUCUUUGCAACAUAUUGUUCAUGUGAACUUUUUUUUGCUCUUUCUGUGCAGGUAAGGGCGAUUCUGUCGACAUCGUGCUCCUCUAUGAAUGGUUCAAUAAAAUGCGUAGCAAUG